AGCGAACGCUGGCGGCAGGCCUAACACAUGCAAGUCGAACGAACUCUUCGGAGUUAGUGGCGGACGGGUGAGUAACACGUGGGAACGUGCCUUUAGGUUCGGAAUAACUCAGGGGCACUUGUGCUAAUACCGAAUGUGCCCUUCGGAGGCAAGAUUUAUCGCGUUUAGAGCGGCCCGCGUCUGAUUAGCUAGUUGGUGAGGUAAAGGCUCACCAAGGCGACGCUCAGUAGCUGGUUUGAGAGGAUGAUCAGCCACAUUGGGACUGAGACGCGGCCCAAAAUCCUACAGGAGGCAGCAGUGGGGAAUCUUGCGCAAUGGGGGAAAGGCUGAAGCAGCCCUGCCGGGUGAAUGAUGAAGGUCUUAGGAUAGUACAAUUCUUUCACCGGGGACGAUAAUGACGGUACCCAAAGAAGAAGCCCCGGCUAACUUCGUG
rnacentral:rRNA from 1 species